rnacentral:rRNA from 1 species
GAUUAACGCUGGCGGCGUGCAUAACACAUGCAAGUCGAACGAUGAAACUUAACUGAUUUCUUCGGAAUGAUUUUAAGUGGAUUAGUGGCGGACGGGUGAGUAACGCGUGAGUAACCUGCCUUGGAGAAGGGGAUAGCCUUUGGAAACGAAGAAUAAUACCCUAUGAUAUGAUAAUAUCUCAUGAUAUUAUCAUCAAAGAUUUAUCGCUCUAAGAUGGACUUGCGUCUGAUUAGUUAGUUGGUGAGGUAACAGCUCACCAAGGCAGCGAUCAGUAGCCGGCUUGAGAGAGUGUACGGCCACAUUGGGACUGAGACACGGCCCAGACUCCUACGGGAGGCAGCAGUGGGGAAUUUUGCACAAUGGGGGAAACCCUGAUGCAGCGACGCCGCGUGAUUUAGAAGGCCUUCGGGUUGUAAAAAUCUUUUGUAUGGGAAGAAAAUGACAGUACCAUACGAAUAAGGACCGGCUAAGUACGUG